GAUUAUGGCUCAGAUUGAACGCUGGCGGCGUGCUUAACACAUGCAAGUCGCGCGUGAAAGGACUUCGGUCCGAGUAAAGCGGCGCACGGGUGAGUAACGCGUGGAUGAUCUACCCAUGAGUUAGGAAUAACGGCUGGAAACGGUCGCUAAUACCAAAUACGCUCCGAUUUCAUCGUUCGGGGGAAAGGUGGCCUCUGCUUGCAAGCUACUGCUCAUGGAUGAGUCCGCGUCCCAUUAGCUAGUUGGGUGGGGUAACGGCCCACCAAGGCGACGAUGGGUAGCCGGUCUGAGAGGAUGACCGGCCACACUGGGACUGGAACACGGCCCAGACUCCUACGGGAGGCAGCAGUGGGGAAUAUUGCGCAAUGGGCGAAAGCCUGACGCAGCGACGCCGCGUGAGGGAUGAAGGUCCUCGGAUCGUAAACCUCUGUCAGGAGGGAAGAACCGCCACGGUGCUAAUCAGCCGUGGUCUGACGGUACCUCCAAAGGAAGCACCGGCUAACUCCGUGCCAGCCGCCGC
rnacentral:rRNA from 1 species